rnacentral:rRNA from 1 species
GACGAACGCUGGCGGCGUGCUUAACACAUGCAAGUCGAGCGGUAAGGCCCUUCGGGGGUACGACGAGCGGCGAACGGGUGAGUAACACGUGGGUGACCUGCCCUCAGCUCUGGGAUAAGCCUGGGAAACUGGGUCUAAUACUGGAUAUGACUCCACGGUGCAUGUCGUGGGGUGGAAAGCCUUGUGCGGCUGAGGAUGGGCCCGCGGCCUAUCAGCUUGUUGGUGGGGUGAUGGCCUACCAAGGCGACGACGGGUAGCCGGCCUGAGAGGGCGACCGGCCACACUGGGACUGAGACACGGCCCAGACUCCUACGGGAGGCAGCAGUGGGGAAUCUUGCGCAAUGGGCGAAAGCCUGACGCAGCGACGCCGCGUGAGGGAUGACGGCCU